rnacentral:rRNA from 1 species
UACAGAGGUCCCAAGCGUUGUUCGGAUUUAUUGGGCGUAAAGGGUGCGUAGGCGGUCGGGUAAGUCUGAUGUGAAAUCUCCGAGCUUAACUCGGAAAUGGCAUUGGAUACUAUUCGGCUGGAGAGUUGGAGGGGGGACUGGAAUACUUGGUGUAGCAGUGAAAUGCGUAGAUAUCAAGUGGAACACCAGUGGCGAAGGCGAGUCCCUGGACAACUUCUGACGCUGAGGCACGAAAGCUAGGGGAGCAAACAGG